UCGGGGAUCAUCUAAUGGUAGGAUAGCGGAUUCUGAUUCCGCUUAUCAAGGUUCGAAUCCUUGUCCCCGAA
rnacentral:tRNA from 1 species